rnacentral:tRNA from 1 species
GCCUUCGUGGUGUAGUGGUCAGCACACUCGGCGCGUAUUCGAGAGGUCCGUGGUUCGAGUCCCGGCGAGGGUA